GCAGGUUUUGAUAGUAGAUAAAAUGUUAAACAAUAAUCACUUCCUUAUUAAUCAAAGCCCGAUUUAAUCUCGUGAGCAUUAUUUAUUGUUAUCGCUGGUUGUUCUCGGAUAAGUGGGACUUUAAUCUAUUUGCUUUGAAUAAUUUGCAACUACUUGGUUGAGUAUGUAUUUAUGUCGGAUAAUUUUUCAUGAUAACGAAGUGCAGAUAGAACAGCAUGGCGAUAUAAAUGUAUCUUAUUGUUGCAAAGUGUCGAAUCAGUUGUGAAAGUAGUUUAGAGAUGGCUAGAUUCGAGUGUAGAGCAACUUGUUGGUCAUCAUUACAGCACUCCCUGUUGUGAUCGAGUUAAUGACAUGGCAGAACACGCCACCGAUCUCGUCCGGUCAGUCCGAUACGACGGACAAGCCAUUGUUUUAAUUUAUGACCGGUGGCACGUUUACAUUCGUCAAGUACCGACCCAACUACCUACAGCGAUAUGUUUCCCAACACAAAUUACCAGCGCAACUGCAGCCAUUGCCUCCUAUGGACUUUCAUAAAUUUUUAUAAAUACAUAAUACUGCCUAACUUACGACUCUUGAUAUAAUGAAUUGUCGCUACACCAGCUUUACACUCUUACACUACAGCUUUAGAAAUGUAAAUCGCAAAUCAGUAAAUCAAAAUAAUAAAUUUAUUAACUCAG